rnacentral:rRNA from 1 species
UACGGAGGAUUCAAGCGUUAUCCGGAUUUAUUGGGUUUAAAGGGUGCGUAGGCGGUUUGAUAAGUUAGAGGUGAAAUCCCGGGGCUUAACUCCGGAACUGCCUCUAAUACUGUUAGACUAGAGAGUAGUUGCGGUAGGCGGAAUGUAUGGUGUAGCGGUGAAAUGCUUAGAGAUCAUACAGAACACCGAUUGCGAAGGCAGCUUACCAAACUAUAUCUGACGUUGAGGCACGAAAGCGUG